UUAUGGAUCCCUCACCUUGACCUCCUCCUCAAUAUGUCUCUUCAGCUCCUCCACCUGCUGGGUGAAAGCCUGUUUGCCUCUGGUCAGCUGAGACACCAAGGCUUCCUUCUCCUCCAGCUGGCGGCCAAACUCACCUGGAGGGACAAUAUGUUAAUAGAGAAUCUGUCAUGUAAGAUUUACAUAAUGUAGAAAAUGUUGUUCUUCCAAAUGAAAAACAUUGAUUUGUACUUCAUUAUACAUAUCACCUGGAAGAACAUAGAGACAUAAUGUUAAUGGAGAAUCUGUCAUGUAAGUUUGAAAUAAUGUGGAAACGGUUGAAAACAUGGUUUGUUUUGUUAAUUAUACAUGACUAUCAUAUCUAUUGGUAUGUUACCAUUUUCUGUCAGGAGUCUGGCCCUCUGUGCACUGAUGUCAUUGACUUGGCGAACAUUCUCAUCAUUUUUGGACUUCAGUUCGCUCAGCUGGUCCUCAAGAGUACGGCACAUCUUCUCCAGAUUGCCCUGAUAGGGAAACAUUUUCCAUCAUUACAUUAUGUUUGACACUCCCGUCAAGUUAAAUUAACUUAAAUGGUAAUCUAAUUUUCCCUUUUCAAAUCUGCUUGUCCAAACAUCACUACUCACCUUUGCCUUGGCGACUGCCUCCAUGUUGCUGGAGAGGUCAUCGAUCUCCAUCUUGUACUCGCUCUUCUCCUUCUCCAGCUUCUGCUUGACACGCUGCAGGUUGUCGAUCUGCUCCCCGAGUUCAGCCACGCUGUCGGCCUGCUUCUUGCGCAGAGCAGCGGCUGUGGCCUCAUGUUGCAGGGUGGACUCUUCAAGAUCACGACGCAGCUUCUGGAACUCAGCCUCGCGCUUCUUGUUCAUCUCAAUCUGAGCAGCAGUGGCGCCUCCGGCCUCUUCCAGCCUCUCACUGAUCUCCUCGAGUUCCCUGGAGAGAUCGGCCCUCUGCUUCUCAACCUUGGCCCUGGCUGCACGCUCAGCCUCAAUCUCCUCCUCCAGCUCCUCAAUACGGGCCUACAACACAAAAUCAAACAACCGAAUACAAUGGGGAAAUCUUCUGGUUCUGUACUCUACCUGAAGUUCCUUGAUCUUCUUCUGCAGCUGAGCUCCCAUAGACUGCUCAUCCUCAAUCUUGCUGAGGAGCUGGCUUGUCUCAAACUCCUUCCUAAGAAACACAAAUUGGUUGGGUGCAGUGUUGGUUUUAGAAUGAUAGCGUUAAUGCGAUGUACCAAGCUAUUAACUUGUCUGUCACAGGUAAAUGCUAAUUUACCGUUACUUGAAUUAGUGAGGAACAAUCGUUAUUUCAAUCAACAUGUCAGUUAAUAUUGAGGUCAUUUGUUAGUAUUUACUUCUUUAUCUUCUCGUCAGACUGCUGCUUGUCAUUCUCCAGGUCCAUUAUGGACUCCUGGGCCAGUUUCAGAUCUCCCUCCAACUUUCUCUUGGCUCUCUCAAGGUCCAUACGGAGCUUCUUCUCUUGCUCCAGAGAACCCUCAAGCUAUAAAAUAAAAAAACACUAAUUGUUGAGAACUCAACAACUGAAGGUAAUAUCAUCUUUCAUACCAUCAAAACCAAAAUGUCCAUCUCCACUCACGUCGUCCACUUGCUGUUCCAGCUUGGUCUUGGCCUUGGUCAGAGUGUUGACUUUGUCCUCCUCUGCCUGCAGGUCAUCCAGGGUCUGCUGGUGGGCCUCUUGGAGGGCUUUCUUCUCCUUGGUCAGCUUGGCUACACUUUCUUCUACAGACGACAUCUCCUCUGUCAGGUUUUUCACCUGACCAUAGGGAAGUUAAAAAGUGUCUAAAAGGUGUCUUAUUUCAUAUGUUCUUAGAUGACAGUUUACAUUGCCAGUCAUGGAAGUUGUAAAGGAAUGACCUACAAUGAAUGAGCUUCAUUCUUUGCAAUGCAUUUCUAUGCACCCAACUCAACCGACGUUUUUUUCUGUUUAGCUAUGUUUCGACUUAAUUCUUGUUUGGAUUGUUUGGAUAGAUAGUCUCUUCUGAGACAAUACCUUGUUUUCAGUGGCGUGCUUCUCCUUCUCCACUUUGGCCAGGGUGAGCUCCAGGUCAUCAAUGUCCUUCUUCAGCUCAGAACAUUCGUCCUCCAGCUUCCUCUUCUUGGCAGUCAACUCGGCAUUCAUCUCCUCCUCAUCCUCCAGCCUCUCGGUCGUCUCUUUGAGUUUGGCCUCCAGCUGGAUCUUACUCUUGAUGAGCCCCUCACACCUUUCCUCAGCAUCAUUUAGAUUCUCAGAGUCCUGUAAUAAAAGGAACAAAAUAUAAUGUCGGCCAUAAUUAGUCAGAGGUUACAACAAGGGCAAAAUCUUUGUUUCUAGUGUUGAUGUGUUUGGAUGUUUGUGUGUGUAAAUAAUAUUACAUGUGUAUUGGUAUGUCUGUGGGGAUUGUUGCACACUCACAGAUGCGACUUGGAGUGCCAGGUCAUUUUUCUCCUGAACCAAUGCCACCAUCUUCUCCUCCAACUCCUUCUUCUUGGCCAAAGCCUUUGCUAGGUCUCCCUGCAUCUUCUCAAAGUUCUCCUUCAUGUUGGCCAACUCCUUCUCAGACUCUGCGCUCUUCAGCAGAGGCUUGAUCUUGAAGUACAACUUCAUCCAUGGCCAGUGUUUCACGUUCAUGAAUGAGCGGAUGUUGUACUGGAUGGAGUAGAUGGACUCUCUGGUUGACAGAAUGAAUAGAGUUGCAUGUCUCAGUCUCCAUUCUAAGAUCAGAAAUAACUUUACACUUUGUUAAAACCUGGCAUUGUAAAAGCUUGGAUGGUCAUUUCUUAGAUUCUUAGCUCUGUCUAUAAUUUUGUGAGGGCUUACAUUUCUCCAGACCCUAUCUUAGUGUUGCUUUUAUUAAAACUAAAGAGUGUCGCUUCAAUGAACUAUUAUAAUACAUAUGGUCCUUUCUCAUAAAAAAGAAUUCUGCAUAUAGAGUAUGUACUGUACGUGAAUGGGUCUGUUUAUUAAAGACAUUACAUUCAGAUGAUUCACAAAAAACAGAUGUGCUCACCUCCUCUCCAUCAUCUUGGAAAACUCUCUCCUCAUGAGGAAUCCACGGCUAAGAGCCUGGAGCAUGCCGACCAGAGAGGCCAGCUUCUCAUCUCUCAUCUCCUCCAGGACGCCCAGAAGACCGGCUUUGAAGAACACCUGAGACAGAUAGACAUGGCCAACUAUGAAACCAAAGUCAUACUGAUGGUGACACAUAGAAAUGGUUUAAUCAAAAGACGUGAACAACUUUACAGGUUUGAUGGGAUGGUUGUUUAUAAUGUAUAAUACAUUUAAGGCAAAUAUUUGGACACUGACACAAGUUUCAUAAUUUUGUCUCUGUACGCCCAUACAAUCGAUUUGAAAAGAAACAACCGAGAUGCAAUUGAAGUGCAGACUUUCAGCUUUAAUUCAAGGGAGCUGAACAAAAAUAUUGUAUUAAACAUUUAGGAAUUGCAACCAUUUUUAUAGAGUCCCUUUAUUUUAGAAGCUCAAAUGUAAUUGUUAAUUUGGAUGUGAAUACUCUCAUAUUGAAGCUGAGAUACUGAACUUUAAGCCCAUGUUCAUUAUUUAACUGUAACGUGAAUAUAUUUUGGUAAACAGCCUAAAUAACAAAACUUGUCAGUGUCCUAAAUACUUCUGGACCUAACUGUAGUUUUUGAUUUUAUCCAUUUUUGCUUCUGCUGGGCGUAUUUAACUGACCUUGGUGUGACCAAACUUGUAGUCCUCAUGAUUCACAUCAAUGGACCCAAGCAGCUUCUCAGAAGCCUUCUUGUUGUCCAUGAACUGACCCUCGGGGAUGACACUGGCAUUCAGUACUUUGUACCUGAAUAAAGACAAAUCUAAGUUCUA